rnacentral:rRNA from 1 species
ACGCUGGCGGCGCGCCUAACACAUGCAAGUCGAACGGAGCUGUUUUCUCUGAAGUUUUCGGAUGGAAGAGAGUUCAGCUUAGUGGCGAACGGGUGAGUAACGCGUGGGUAACCUGCCUUUCAGUGGGGGAUAACAUUUGGAAACGAAUGCUAAUACCGCAUAAGACCACAGUGUCGCAUGGCACAGGGGUCAAAGGAUUUAUCCGCUGAAAGAUGGGCUCGCGUCCGAUUAGCUAGAUGGUGAGGUAACGGCCCACCAUGGCGACGAUCGGUAGCCGGACUGAGAGGUUGAACGGCCACAUUGGGACUGAGACACGGCCCAGACUCCUACGGGAGGCAGCAGUGGGGAAUAUUGCACAAUGGGGGAAACCCUGAUGCAGCGACGCCGCGUGAAGGAAGAAGGUCUUCGGAUUGUAAACUCCUGUCCCAGGGGACGAUAAUGACGGUACCCUGGGAGGAAGCACCGGCUAACUACGUGCCAGCAGCCGCGGUAAAACGUAGGGUGCAAGCGUUGUCCGGAAUUACUGGGUGUAAAGGGAGCGCAGGCGGAUUGGCAAGUUGGGAGUGAAAUCUAUGGGCUCAACCCAUGAAUUGCUUUCAAAACUGUCAGUCUUGAGUGCUGGAGAGGUAGGCGGAAUUCCCGGUGUAGCGGUGGAAUGCGUAGAUAUCGGGAGGAACACCAGUGGCGAAGGCGGCCUACUGGGCACUAACUGACGCUGAGGCUCGAAAGCAUGGGUAGCAAACAGGAUUAGAUACCCUGGUAGUCCAUGCCGUAAACGAUGAUUACUAGGUGUGGGAGGAUUGACCCCUU